UUGCAGGUGAGCCUGAAUUUUUAUCUUCGUCGAACAAUGAGACAAAGGUUAGGAUUAAAUUGUCUAAUUCAAUUCUCGUACGUCUUAAACAUUAAAAAAUUGUGUAACAUAUAAUUAUCGAUAGUUAAAUAUUCCAAUAAACCCAUCGAAUCUUUCCUCUCAGCGCAAUUCGCUGAAAAGAAAAGAAAUUACAGCGAAAUUGUCGAGACAGUGACAAAUGAAGUGAAGUUAGCAUCGUGAUCUGACUGGCUGAUAAGUCAGAAUGACUAGUAAUUGCGUUCUUCAAUUUAACGAGCGUUUACUACUUGGAUAAAAAUCACACGCGUGUUGUUACAGGUUACAUAGACGUGUUUAAGUUGUUAAUCAUGUUUCAUUAAACAUUUAGCAUACUAAUCGGCACAAUUGGCGAUACAUGGAAAGAAAAGUCGUUUAAUAAAAUUCAGGUUAAUCUCUUCUCGCUCAAUCUGGCUUGUUCGAGAUUUAUUGACUUUUGUUUAUGUUAACGCACUCGUUCAUGCCAUCGAGUCAGAAACCCGAAAUCAUUUUCCCCCGGUCAUCCAUGAAAAAAAUUAAUGCAGCAAAUAAUUCGCUGCCUUUUGUCCUUGCUUUUCUCGAGCCUUUCUGCCAUUCGAUGCCUGCUGUGAGGCAUAGAUAAUGGAACCUUCCACACCAAAGUAAGAAGGAAGAAACAUUUUAUGGAUCGUCGUUUACCGUUGCACACCAGGGGACCAGUCGAUCAGAAAUGCGCAUCCACAACAAUAACCGUUGUUCUAUUUUUCAACUUUUUAGCUAAUAAUAUAUUCUAGUAAUUGAGACUCAACCUGAUAGAAGUAAUAUGAGAAAGGGCAAUCUAUAGUCUUUCUCAAAAGUCUGAAGAUACUUUUGAUGCUUGAAAUUAGUAAAACAUCAGUAUUCGAUGUAAAUGUAGGUUAUGAUAUUAAAGUUGCUUGCAUUUUUCAGUAAAAUUAUUAAUACAUUAUAUAGUAACUAAUUCUUUUUUGCCACAUGUCAAUCAUAUUUUUUCAUCUUUUAAUUGCCACUUCACAUUUUCCAGCCUUGAAUUAGAUAUAAUAACCGUUUUGCGACAUUUGAGCGAGAGCAUACCUACAUCUUCAUUUAUAACGAAAUUGAAAUUUAUCGAUUCUACGAAAAUAAUCUUUGUAAACUAUUCUUAAUCAGAAUAUCUUUGUCAACAAAGUACUCGUUCGCCACCGUGGCGAAUAUGACGAACCAAAUUUCAAAGACGCGAAAUAUGCAAUUGUUGGGCUAUUUCCAUUGGACCCAGCGCAAAAAUGAAUAGGGGACUCCCGAGAGACGAAUCUUGAAAGAAGGGAGAGUAGAGGAUUUCAGAUGCCAAGUAGUUUUCCAAUGGAUACAGGUUAUGUGCGUAAGACAAUGGUCUUCUAGUCUUGUUCAUUAAUAGACAAUCGUCUACCGGUUUUUACAAAUAGAAAGUAAAAAUAGGUAUAUUGCAAAUAGGUUUAAAUUUGACUGAAAAGUUUUGGAUAUAUCUUGAGUACCUCGAUAGAAAAACUGAACACAUAUCUUUAAGUAUGAGUUUCGAAAAUAGAUGUAAAUGCCGAUACUUUCAAGUACAAUCGAAUGUUGACUAAGUGAAUUCGGUAAAUUCGGAUUUACUUGUACUCUAACUCUUUAGUUCUCCUAAAGUUAAACUCUGUUCUGGAUUAAUAAAUAUCUGGUUUAAUAUUUAA